rnacentral:rRNA from 1 species
UACGUAGGAGGCAAGCGUUGUCCGGAAUCACUGGGCGUAAAGCGCGUGUAGGCGGAUCGCUAAGUCUGUGGUGAAAGCGCCUGGCUUAACCGGGCGAGGUCCAUGGAAACUAGCGGUCUGGAGGCCGGUAGAGGGGGGUGGAAUUCCGGGUGUAGUGGUGAAAUGCGUAGAGAUCCGGAGGAACACCAGUGGCGAAGGCGGCAUCCUGGACCAUAACUGACGCUGAGGCGCGAAAGCUAGGGGAGCAAACGGG